rnacentral:tRNA from 1 species
GGGAAGGUGGCUCAGUGGUAGAGCACUUGCCUUGCAUGCAUGAGGCCGUGGGUUCGACUCCUCAUCACCA